CACAUCCAAGGAAGGCAGCAGGCGCGCAAAUUACCCACUCCCAGCACGGGGAGGUAGUGACGAAAAAUAACAAUACGGGACUCUUUUGAGACCCCGUAAUUGGAAUGAGUACACUCUAAAUCCUUUAACGAGGAUCCAUUGGAGAGCAAGUCUGGUGCCAGCAGUCGCGGUAAUUCCAGCUCCAAUAGCGUAUAUUAAAGUUGUUGCGGUUAAAAAGCUCGUAGUUGGAUCUCAGCUCCGGCCGGACGGUCCGCCUACCGGUGGUCACUGUUCGCUGCCGAGCGUUCAGGGGGCUCUCGCCGAUGAUCUUCAUCGGUUGUCUGCGGGGACCCUCACGUUUACUUUGAAAAAAUUAGAGUGCUCAAAGCAGGCGCGACGCCUGAAUAAUUGUGCAUGGAAUAAUGGAAUAGGACCUCGGUUCUAUUUUGUUGGUUUUCGGAACACGAGGUAAUGAUUAAGAGGGACAGACGGGGGCAUUCGUAUUGCGACGCUAGAGGUGAAAUUCUUGGACCGUCGCAAGACGAACUACUGCGAAAGCAUUUGCCAAGAAUGUUUCCAUUAAUCAAGAACGAAAGUUAGAGGUUCGAAGGCGAUCAGAUACCGCCCUAGUUCUAACCAUAAACGAUGCCAGCCAGCGAUCCGGCUGUGUUCCUCAAAUGACACGCCGGGCAGCUUCCGGGAAACCAAAGCUUUUGGGUUCCGGGGGAAGUAUGGUAG
rnacentral:rRNA from 1 species